ACCCUCAAUGAUAUAGUUCGCACUCUCCUCAUUCAAUCAUCUAUGCCUCCCAAGUUUUGGGCUGAAGCCCUACACAUGGCCACCUUCCUUCUAAAUAUUCGACCUUCUAAAACUAAACCCAACACUACUCCCUAUUAUUCCCUCUUUCUUUCCCACCCCGACUACUCCGCGGUUCGUGUUUUCGGCUGUCUCUGUUUUCCCAAUGCCUACGCCACUUCUGCAAAUAAAUUGUCAUCACGCUUUAUCCCAUGUGCUUUUCUCAGCUUCUCUGACGAGCACAAAGGCUAUCGCUGUCUCGACCUUCACACCGGACACGUUCAUGUCUCUCGUCAUGUCACGUUUGCUGAGCACAUUUUUUCUUUCUCACAACGCAAUACUACACCAUCCAACACCCCU
rnacentral:rRNA from 1 species